rnacentral:rRNA from 1 species
UACGAAGGGGGCUAGCGUUGCUCGGAAUUACUGGGCGUAAAGGGCGCGUAGGCGGCCAUUUAAGUCAGGGGUGAAAUCCCAGAGCUCAACUCUGGAACUGCCUUUGAUACUGGGUGUCUUGAGUGUGAGAGAGGUAUGUGGAACUCCGAGUGUAGAGGUGAAAUUCGUAGAUAUUCGGAAGAACACCAGUGGCGAAGGCGACAUACUGGCUCAUUACUGACGCUGAGGCUCGAAAGCGUGGGGAGCAAACAGG